AGGUCAGAAGCUUUGAGAACAUAUGGCAUUCUUUCAUCUGCUAUUUUAAAGUCUUCAAAUUGGUCACUGAAGGACAAAUGACUGCAGCUUCUCAGAUCCAUCCCUUUCGCCAGGACUCUUGAUCACAAGGGACAGAAGUCAAGCUCAAACUUCCUCCAGGGAAACGUGAAUUGAUUGGUGCCUGUCGGCGAAAACUGGCUGUAGCAUCGCAGAUCCAGGAGCUCGGCAGACACCAUCGAGUCUCUUAGGGUUCACAGGGAUGGGAUUCCAGACCCACACUCCAUCAGUAUAUUUUCCAAAAUCGCCCCACCAUGGGAAAGGACGCUUUACAUGAAGAUGGGCUCAUCUCAGCGCCUGAAAAGGAGCCAAG
rnacentral:lncRNA from 1 species